AUUGUCAAAUGGAUUAUAGAAACUUUGCAUCUGUGGGUUGUAGAGGUACCUAAUGUGAAACAAAGAAAAUAAAGAAGAAUUUACCUGAUAUGUGAGUGUUGAACUGCAUCUUGGACAUAAUCAAGCUUGAAGAGGAAUCUAAAGGACCAUCACAGAAAAACUACAACUGUACACAAUGCAGAGAUCAACAAAUUGUGGAAAGCCCAGCUCCAGUGGGUACAUCUACACCACAGGUCCUGCAUGUAGGACUCAGGGAGCACCACAGGAAAGGGAACAGAAAGAGCCAGAACACCAGAAAGACUGCUGAAAUGAAUAUAUAGAGAUGUUUGUGCUGCAAGAAUACCACCCAGGGAUUCAGUUGAUUUCCCGUUGCCUGCAAGAUGCAAGACUUUCAGCUACUGCUCCAACACCAGCACAUGUUUGAUAUGCACAGCUGGAAGAGAAGAGGGAGUUGGAACAUCUAGAACUGGAGUUCCACACUGCUGUUAUCUGGACUUUUUGCUGGGAACUGAACACAGGUCUUCUAAAAGAGCAGCCAAGGCUCGCAACCUCUGAGCCAUCUCUCCAUCCACAGAAAAAAAAUUCCUUUACAGCUGCCCAAGUUCGUUCACAUCACUAAUUGACUGAUAAGUAAGAUGUUUUCCUCAUAUAAAUUUUGUGAACAAAGGACAUAAUAAAUGCACCUACUUAGAAUAUUCA